rnacentral:rRNA from 1 species
AAUCAACGCUGGCGGCGUGCCUAACACAUGCAAGUCGAACGCGAAAGGGGGCUUCGGCCCUGAGUAGAGUGGCGAACGGGUGAGUAACACGUGGGUGAUCUACCUCUGAGUGGGGGAUAACGUUCCGAAAGGAGCGCUAAUACCGCAUGACGUUCUGGGUUUGAAGACCUGGAAACCAAAGCCGGGGACCGCAAGGCCUGGCGCUUGGAGAGGAGCCCGCGCCUGAUUAGCUAGUUGGGA